AUACAGAGGGUGCGAGCGUUAAUCGGAAUUACUGGGCGUAAAGCGCGCGUAGGCGGCUUAUUAAGUCAGAUGUGAAAUCCCCGGGCUCAACCUGGGAACUGCAUCUGAUACUGGUAAGCUAGAGUUUUGGAGAGGGAAGUAGAAUUUCAGGUGUAGCGGUGAAAUGCAUAGAGAUCUGAAGGAAUACCAGUGGCGAAGGCGACUUCCUGGCCAAAAACUGACGCUGAGGUGCGAAAGCGUGGGUAGCAAACGGUAUUAGAAACCCUAGUAGUCC
rnacentral:rRNA from 1 species